UACGGGAGGCAGCAGUGGGGAAUAUUGGACAAUGGACCGAGAGUCUGAUCCAGCAAUUCUGUGUGCACGAUGAAGUUUUUCGGAAUGUAAAGUGCUUUCAGUUGGGAAGAAAGAAAUGACGGUACCAACAGAAGAAGUGACGGCUAAAUACGUGCCAGCAGCCGCGGUAAUACGUAUGUCACGAGCGUUAUCCGGAUUUAUUGGGCGUAAAGCGCGUCUAGGUGGUUAUGUAAGUCUGAUGUGAAAAUGCAGGGCUCAACUCUGUAUUGCGUUGGAAACUGUAUAACUAGAGUACUGGAGAGGUAAGCGGAACUACAAGUGUAGAGGUGAAAUUCGUAGAUAUUUGUAGGAAUGCCGAUGGGGAAGCCAGCUUACUGGACAGAUACUGACGCUAAAGCGCGAAAGCGUGGGUAGCAAACAGGAUUAGAUACCCUGGUAGUCCACGCUGUAAACGAUGAUUACUAGGUGUUGGGGGUCGAACCUCAGCGCCCAAGCAAACGCGAUAAGUAAUCCGCCUGGG
rnacentral:rRNA from 1 species